rnacentral:miRNA from 1 species
ACGACGCAGUAUUUAGUGGAGGUAAGUAAUUUUAUUGAUUUUAUCAUUGUUAAACAUUGUUCACGUCAUGUUAUUGAUUAUUUUGCAACCGGCUUUGGAACUGUUUUAUGUACAAAUUUUGGCAUUUUGGCAUAGGUGUGGUUAUAUAAAUAUAGCUAAUUAAUGUAUCUUGAAAAUAAUAUAUUUGUUGUGCAGAGUAAAGGUAAAAUUGAAAAAACAUAACCACGACGCGGAGUGUCACAAAGUAGGUUACUUGUAGUAAAACUUCAGUUGCAGAUGGGAUAAAUAACUAAUGCUCAGUGAACGCAACCGUAUUCACGGCCGCUAUAGUUCUGGUUGUAAACAUCAUUACAGGUGUACAUCUCCUUUGAGUAAACCCUUCGGCUGAAACAAUUGGUACCAACAUGAAGAGGGACGCGUAUGGGGACGAGGGUCCCGCGCAGAAGCGGCAGCGGCAUUCAGACGACGAGGUCACAUUUCUCAUACCAAGCAAGGUGGCUGGUUCAAUCAUUGGAAAAGGUGGCACCAAUAUAUCAAAACUGAGAAACCAGUACAAAGCCUCUAUAACAGUCCCAGAUUGCCCCGGCCCCGAACGGGUGUUAUCAAUAACGGCUGAAGAUGUGGACACGCUUCUUGAAAUUGUCAAAGAAAUAUUGCCAUGUUUGGCGGAAGGAGGGCCCAAGGCCAUGGGCGACCAGGACCUGGACGUGCGUCUACUAAUCCACCAGAGCCGCGCCGGCUGCGUGAUCGGCAAGGCCGGCGCCAAGAUCAAGGAACUGCGCGAGAAAACCGGCGCCCGCUUGAAGAUAUUCUCUAGUCCGGCGCCUCAGAGCAUGGAGCGCAUCGUGCAGCUGGUGGGCAAGCCCGACGCCAUCGCCGCCGGCAUCCGAGAGGUGCUCGAACUCAUACGCCAGGUGCCAAUCAAAGGUCCAAUCCAGAACUACGAUCCGCACAAUUAUGACGAUUACUACGCGGACCAAUACGGAGGGUUCGGAGCCGGGCAGGGUGGCGGCGGUGGCGGCGGCGGCGGUCGUCCUCCCCGCGGCAUGCCGCCCAUGGGCCCCGCCGGCCGGCCCCCGCCGCGCGGACCCCCGCCCGCGCGCAACGGCCCACCACCUCCGCGCACUGGCUUUAACGACUUCUCCGGCCCUGGACCACGAGCUAACUUCAGCGGCGGUCCCCCGCGCGGAGGCUUUGGUGGCGGCAGCUUCGGAGGGAACUUCGGAGGCGGUGGCGGUGGAGGCCGCAGCUCCGGUUCUGGCGGCGGAAACUUCAACGGUAGCUCGGUCAACCAGCAGGAGACCACCACACAAGUUACCAUUCCCAAAGAUUUGGCGGGCGCCAUUAUAGGCAAGGCGGGGUCUCGCAUCCGCAAGAUCCGCGCGGAGAGCGGCGCCGGCAUAGAGAUCGCGGAGCCUCUGCCCGGCUCCAGCGACCGCAUCAUCACCAUCACGGGCACGCCGCAGCGCAUACAGAUGGCGCAGUACCUCUUGCAACAAAGUGUGCACGAGAGCAACCCGAAUCUCGGCCGAAACUUCUGAUUCGAGGACAUAUUGAAUCGUAUGUUGCUGCUGUAACUUGUAAGGUUUAAUAAACCACCUCAUAUCACGUGAUUGAUUCUGUAACUGUAUAGUGUAACGCGAGGCUCUCGUUUAUAAUGGCGUGUAAAGUCUGACCUGGAAACAACCGAAAAAAAAAAGACAAAGGAUAAAUUUGUUUUGUAAAUAGACUUGUUUGUGCGUUUCUAUUUUAUUAUCACAAAUAAUUUUAUCUAUGUUUGGAACAACUGAUUAUUGAAAUAUAUUUUCACAUUUCCAGAUCAGACUUCACACAAAACGUAAGAAUGCAUUUAUCAUUAUAUACAUAAUAUUAUUAAAAGAGAAUUAUCUAAGAUUGUGUCAAUGAUUUACUGAUUUAUUUGUUACAUUACAUCGAUGUAAUUUUAAGUGAUAGGUAAUAGAAAUUAAACGAAGUUUAUUUUAUG